rnacentral:rRNA from 1 species
GAGUUUGAUUCUGGCUCAGGACAAACGCUGGCGGCGUGCAUAACACAUGCAAGUCGAACGAGAUCUAAAAGAUCUAGUGGCGAACGGGUGAGUAACACGUGAGAAACCUGCCUCAUACAGAGGGAUAGCCGUUGGAAACGACGAUUAAUACCUCAUGAGACUACAUUAUCGCAUGAUAAAGUGGUUAAAGAAAAUCGGUAUGAGAUGGUCUUGCGUCUGAUUAGCUAGUUGGUGGGAUAACGGCCUACCAAGGCGACGAUCAGUAGCCGAUCUGAGAGGGUGGACGGCCACACUGGGACUGAGACACGGCCCAGACUCCUACGGGAGGCAGCAGUGGGGAAUUUUGCACAAUGGACGAAAGUCUGAUGCAGCGACGCCGCGUGAACGAAGAAGGCCUUCGGGUUGUAAAGUUCUGUCCUAGGUGAAGAUAAUGACCGUACCNGAGAGCC